CUUUCACAAAAAGAACCCGUAGAUUCAAUCCAAGAUGACCCCAUCUUGUCCUUUUUUUUUUUUAGUGAAACCCAAAACCUCGCUGCGAAAAUUUGUAGUAAGUCAACAACAACAAAAUCCAGCGACCCCAACCCUGUGUACUCCACUCCGCAAGAACUAGUGAUGAAGAAACCAAACGCGUCCUUAACACGCCUUCUUCCCAAGGUACGAUUUCCUUCAGCUCUUACUAUGAUUCCAACUGGCUUUUCUCUGCACCAACCGCACGAUUCCUUCCUUUUUGGCUUGAGAUUAAGCCACGUCAAAGCUCAAGGACGGUUGGAUUUAAUCUAGCCUUUCGCUCCCCUUUUCCUUCUAGGAAUGGAGUUAAAGACUCAAGAAAAGCUGUCAUUCCGUUUGGUGAAAGAUUUAGGGGCAUUUUGAAUUUUUAAAAUGGGCUUUGAACAAGAUUUUCACCCUUUUCGCUCCAUUUCCAAACCCUAAGUCCCUCACAUAUAUAUAUUCUUUUUCUAUCACAGUGAAAAAAAGGGGUAGAAAAUUUUGGACGGAAAUACAAAAAAAACAUUUCAAAUUUUUAGCUUAAUAUAGUCUAAUUUUAGUCCCAUGAGAAUAGCGUAGAACGAGUUUCAGUUCGAGUUUGAGAUCUUGCGCAAAUUCUUUAUUCGAUGCUCGAGUCGAAACGUUAGUGGUGGAAUCGUUGUUCGGAAGCACGCUGUCUCCAUUUUUCUGCCCAUAGAAUGGUUGAUUAUUACGCUUGUGUCUUGACUAGCAUUGCGGAUAUAAAUUGGAUAGUUUUUUUUUUAAUAUGCAUUUGCUGGCUGAACAUGUCGACUAAUUUUUGUUUUUUUGUAGCAUGUCUUUUGAUCAAUAAAGUGAUGGGUUUCAUUUAUAAGCUUCCCUGGUCUGAUGUCUUAAAUUUCUUCACUCGGGGUCAUUCGAAAUCUACCUCAUGCUCGUCUGCUAAAUAUGUUGUGGUCAUAAUAGUUUGAGUUUUCUUAUGAGUCAAGAAUAAACAACUUAUCUUGUACGAAUAAGUUUAGUUUUCAUAUUCACAAAGAUUUUUAGUUGUCUAGUUUGUUUAAAAAUUUGUAAUAUUUCUUAAAUUUUAAUCAUUACAUUUGCGAUUUAGGUUGAAAUCUAAGACAAACAUGCCCUUUUGGAUUGCAUUUCUCUCUUGCCUUUGAUUAUUCACUUCUAAUCCAAAUCUACCAGCUCUAUUAUCCUGAAUUAAUUAUGUUAACUUUGUUGCAAAUAGAUGCUAACCCUCUUACUUGUUUAUCACUUUGCAUGAAAUCUUUUCCAUUUGAGUGCAUCACAGACUCCAACUCCUCGCCUUGAUUUUUUAAUUGGACCUCGAAUCAAAAUCCCUUUCGCAGUCAGUCAGUCUACAAAUCGAUGAACAUAUCCCGAAA